UUCACCCAAGAGUUCCCAUUGCCAUGGGUUCUCUCUUCUGGAUAUACUUUGUUCUUCUCCAUCCUUCUUUAGAAAAACUUACUGAGUGUGGUAAGAGGGGGUUAUUCGCCCUUAUUCCAAGUAUAAUGCACUAGCAAUUGAGCUAUCCUUUGGCACGUCCAUCCCAAUCCACCUAUUUUCUUUAUCAUGAUUUAAAUCUGUACUUUUUCAUCUUGCCACAGAUGGGGGAAUUACUAGUUACAACUCUGGUGACUGUGUUUUCCCCAAAUCCCAGGACUCCCUCAAAGGAUUUGUCUAUGAUUUAUAGACUGAGUUGAAGACUGAUAAUCUAUUCAGUGGAAGAUGCAUCCACUGAGAUGAAAUCACAAGUCCUUAAAGCAUUGAAAUUGAAGACAUCACAAGGGCAGGAAACUGAUAUUAUGUAAACUCUGAAGCUCCCUCCUUGACCAAUAUAAUGCUUUACACAGAGUAGACAUUUAAUAAAUCCUACAUGAGUAAAUACAUGAAUGAAUGAUGUCCAGAAAAAUUAAGAGAGUGUUUCAAGGUCACAUAAUUAGUGCAUUGUGGACCCAGGGCUCCAACUCAUCUAUGACUCUGCCCUUUCAGAAUGAUUAAGAACCUCUGAAAGAGGAGGUCUUGGAAAGCCAGUGUCCCAGAGAGCAACAUAUCAAAUGAGAUGCUAAAGCCCAGCAUUGAUCACGCUCAGGAAGCCUGACUGAAGAUGUUUAUCCUAAUCCUCCAAUCCAGACACUUCCUGAGAUAUGGUCAGGAGGACUAAUUACUCCAAUACAUAAAAACUGAAAUGCUCUCAACCCAAACAGCUCCAGAUAUCUGCAUUAGCAGCAGCAGCAGUAAACUAUGAGGCUGCAUCCUUGGUGAAAGACUAAAGCAAUAUCUGACCAAUGACAGCGACAUCCAUAAAAGCCAAAUUGGAUUCCUCCCUUGAAAAUGAACUACAGACUUCAUCUGUCCCCGCUUGCUGCAUAUUAACAAACAUGUACAAAGAAAUCCAAGUGAGGAAAGCACAUGCCUUGUUUUAUUACACUUGGAAAUCGCCUAGAACUCCAUCUGGCACCAGGAAUGAAUCUAGCCCUGCUACAAUAGGGAAUGAACCUGGAGGAGAACGGAUGACGUAAUUACAUUUCUGGACCAAUCCAUCAACUGAAGGAUGGAAAUAAGUAACACUCAAACGGAUGCCUUCAAGCGGGAAAGGGAGUGAGACAAGGAUGCAAAUCUCCAGAGUUUAAUAGAUACCUUGAUGGGUUACUUACUCUGUUGGAGCAGUGCCCAAGCCCAGGGCUCCCAUUAAACCACUCCAAAAGAAAAUGCCUAAUACAUAACCUGCUUCAUAGAGCUGAUCCAAAGACCAAGUGCUCUUCUCUCCCUUUCUUUUUUAUGGUUCUUAGAUCAUUCUGGCAGGGUUUGCAAGAAUAUUUAUCGAGCUAAACACUUCCUCCCCUGACCUUGCUGGACAACAGACCAUCUACCAUAAUUAUAACACUUAUAUAAUGUCACAAUUAAAGAAUUCUGCUCUUGUCGCUCCUCUGCUAAAUCCAGAUUUUCAUUGCUGCCCUUUGGUUAGAUUCGGGGACUCGAAAAUGGAAAAGUGGGACUUUCAGGUCUCCAGGACAAAGGGAAGAAGACACACUCCAGGAAAUUACUUAUACAUUCGUGGAUAGUACACAAUCCUUGUUUCACUUCCAAGUGUGACACAAGCUAAGCACUUCUCUCCUGCAGCCGGGUAAACGCCUUUGGCAAGUAAAGUCUACUCUCC